rnacentral:rRNA from 1 species
UGAACGCUGGCGGCGUGCCUAAUACAUGCAAGUCGAGCGAACAGAUGAGGAGCUUGCUCCUCUGACGUUAGCGGCGGACGGGUGAGUAACACGUGGAUAACCUACCUAUAAGACUGGGAUAACUUCGGGAAACCGGAGCUAAUACCGGAUAAUAUAUUGAACCGCAUGGUUCAAUAGUGAAAGACGGUUUUGCUGUCACUUAUAGAUGGAUCCGCGCCGCAUUAGCUAGUUGGUAAGGUAACGGCUUACCAAGGCAACGAUGCGUAGCCGACCUGAGAGGGUGAUCGGCCACACUGGAACUGAGACACGGUCCAGACUCCUACGGGAGGCAGCAGUAGGGAAUCUUCCGCAAUGGGCGAAAGCCUGACGGAGCAACGCCGCGUGAGUGAUGAAGGUCUUCGGAUCGUAAAACUCUGUUAUUAGGGACGAACAAAUGUGUAAGUAACUAUGCACGUCUUGACGGUACCUAAUCAGAAAGCCACGGCUAACUACGUG